rnacentral:tRNA from 1 species
UCGAUCUAAUAAUCCGA